GUCCACGCCCUAAACGAUGAACACUAGUCGUUACGGAGCUAGUCUCUGUAGUGACGCAGCUAACGCAUUAAGUGUUCCGCCUGGGGAGUACGGUCGCAAGAUUAAAACUCAAAGGAAUAGACGGGGACCCGCACAAGCGGUGGAGCAUGUGGUUUAAUUCGAAGAUACGCGAAGAACCUUACCAAGGCUUGACAUGUUAGGAAUCUUGUAGAAAUAUGAGAGUGCUAGCUUGCUAGAACCUAAACACAGGUGCUGCAUGGCUGUCGU
rnacentral:rRNA from 1 species